UUGCCUUGUACACACCGCUCGUCACGCA
rnacentral:rRNA from 6 species